UACGAAGGGGGCUAGCGUUGCUCGGAAUUACUGGGCGUAAAGGGCGCGUAGGCGGGUUUUUAAGUCAGAGGUGAAAUCCUGGAGCUCAACUCCAGAACUGCCUUUGAUACUGAAAGUCUUGAGUAUGGGAGAGGUGAGUGGAACUGCGAGUGUAGAGGUGAAAUUCGUAGAUAUUCGCAAGAACACCAGUGGCGAAGGCGGCUCACUGGCCCAUUACUGACGCUGAGGCACGAAAGCGUGGGGAGCAAACAGG
rnacentral:rRNA from 1 species